CGGCCCCUUGGACAAGACUGACGCUCAGUGCGAAAGCGUGGGGAGCAAACAGGAUUAGAUACCUGGUAGUCACGCUGUAAACGAUGUCGAUUUGGAGGUUGUUCCCUUGAGGAGUGGCUUCCGGAGCUAACGCGUUAAAUCGACCGCCUGGGGAGUACGGCCGCAAGGUUAGAACUCAAAUGAAUUGACGGGGGCCCGCACAAGCGGUGGAGCAUGUGGUUUAAUUCGAUGCAACGCGAAGAACCUUACCUACUCUUGACACCCAGAGAAUUUAGCAGAGAUGCUUUAGUGCCUUCGGGAACUCUGAGACAGGUGCUGCAUGGCUGUCGUCAGCUCGUGUUGUGAAAUGUUGGGUUAAGUCCCGCAACGAGCGCAACCCUUAUCCUUUGUUGCCAGCACAUUAUGGUGGGAACUCAAAGGAGACUGCCGGUGAUAAACCGGAGGAAGGUGGGGAUGACGUCAAGUCAUCAUGGCCCUUACGAGUAGGGCUACACACGUGCUACAAUGGCGUAUACAAAGAGAAGCGACCUCGCGAGAGCAAGCGGAACUCAUAAAGUACGUCGUAGUCCGGAUUGGAGUCUGCAACUCGACUCCAUGAAGUCGGAAUCGCUAGUAAUCGUAGAUCAGAAUGCUACGGUGAAUACGUUCCCGGGCCUUGUACACACCGCCCGUCACACCAUGGGAGUGGGUUGCAAAAGAAGUAGGUAGCUUAACCUUCGGGAGGGCGCUUACCACUUUGUGAUUCAUGACUGGGGUGAAGUCGUAACAAGGUAACCA
rnacentral:rRNA from 1 species